UGGGCCAGCUUUACCACCGUGUUUAAUCU
rnacentral:piRNA from 1 species